UGAAAGCUACUUUCUGAGAAGGAAUGCUUUAGGGACAGAGACCUUAUCAUUAGUUGUCAGGUCAUUGCUGCAUGCUUGCUGCCACUGAGAUGUUUAGUUAGACUGAGGACUUUGUUACUGGCCUUGGAAGCAUAUUUCAACACAGGAAUGGGAUUUUGACUUGGUUUAGUGAGUGAAGAUCCUCAGAGUCAGGGUAAAUUAAAGGAGCAUGGGCAGCACCUCCUACUCUUUGUAGUUUUCCACCGUAUGGGGACCACACAAGCCUGAGCAUCUCUUCUGAGGCACCUGUCAGUGGAAUAGUGCUUGUCUGAAGUAGUAGAGAAAACCAAAGGAGUCUGGAGAUGCUUUGUUUCCAACUUGGUGACAGCAUUAGGAUACAUCACAGCCAUCCCACUUGGAACUGACAUCUUUACCCAUGAGUGGAGUAACAUGUUUUCUGCAGGAACUCCUUUGAACUUUAACUACAAACUAAUUCUCCAAUCACAUGGCACACAACAGAAAGGUUUUAGCAGAAGCAUCUUGUGAAACAUAAAUAAAAAGUGGAUAUUGAAAGAGUGAGUGGAUAAAUUUAGGUAUUUCUUUGGCAUCAGGAAAUAAAU